UUUACACCCUCAAGCGCUGCUUGGUGUUGGGGCGUCUGUCCCGCCUCACGGGCGCGGACUCGCCUCAAAGUCAUUGGCGGCCGGUACGUAGGCUUCGAGCGCAGCGCAAUCGCGUCUCGAGGCCUGCCGUACCCGCGUCCACAAGGCAAAAGUCUAACCGUCUUGACCUCGGAUCAGGUAGGGAUACCCGCUGAACUUAA
rnacentral:misc_RNA from 1 species